UCCUUUUGUUCCCUAGUCAGAUUCUGCAUGUGGGUCAGGAAACUUUACAGAAAAAUGACACAAAGUGCUUAUAUGGAAAUUGGUUGAGGAGCUCAGUGGGAAACACGGGACUAGAUUUCACUUCUAGCCUGGGACAUAGUGAUCUUUUUUGAAUUGAGUGUUGCUGGGGAGAGUAAUGUUCAGGCUUUCCUCUUAAAACUGUCACCCCAUGACCUGAUCUUGGAUAAGCGGAAGACAACGGGAAACGGAUGGAUGCUCCUCAUAGAGCGUAAAAAAACAAUGAAGAAGCCUUUUGGAUGAGAGAUGGUGCUUGAGUUCUCAGGUGCGCUGGGUGACAGGUGCGACUAAUCUGCUGAUUGCUUGGAGGUGUACUUAAGCAGGAGGCUGCCAGCACUUCAGCGACAGAGUGUUUACCUUCAGUGGUUGUUUUACCUGAAUCUUCGGAUAACCCUUGUUGAUGCCUGACUUCGCUCUCAGCAUACUUUUGCUGUUUUGGAUUUUCGACUUCUGGAGAAAGUUCGCCUAUUUUUGUGCAUUAAGAUCCAAGAUUCCUGUUUACUUUGUCUGGACAAAGACCUGCUGACAGCUUCCUGUUUUCACCGUCAUCUGAACCUUGGCAUAAGCGUAGCCUGUUCACCCUCCAACGCAAGUACCACCAUUCUGAACUCAUCAUCAUCCCUCACAGAUCUCUCAAGCCUUACCAGAGAAACUUCUGUGCCAAACACUCAGACUCCGAAUCCCUCUACCUCCCCAGCGGUUAGAUUACUCCAACAUAGUAAGCUUCGUCUCAUAACUCAUUAAUCACGUUAAGUGUAGUGUUUUGAUUUAUUUAUUUCAUGUUAACUAUAGCAUUUCGAUUUACCUGCUUUUUCUCUUUCUUUGUACA